CUCGAGAGUGUCUCAGUCCCCAGCUGUCGGGCCACACGCCGCGCUUCCAGCUUGGCCGUGGGGUCUGAAGCAGGGAGGGAGUCGAGGCCAGGACCUGUCCAGCUGGAGCUUUGCUGCUGCUUCUGCAUCAGCCCCAUCACGCAGAGAAGAACUGAGCCUGGCUGAGAGACCAUGGGGCCAGAAGCAGAGGGAGAUGCUGAGAGCAAAGUGCCACUGCAGGAGCAUGGGCAUCGUUGUAACUGCAACAAGCGAACAGUCGCCCCCGGAGUCACCCUUGGAGUUGUGUUCUUAGGUCUCCUUGUCACUGUUAUUGCCCUGGCAGGUGAGUUCUCAGCCUCCCCUCCCCCCACCCCCUCUCUGCACGUCCCUCCCCCUGGGGCUGCCCCAGUCACAGCGUCUCCUCCUGGCCUGUCCGACUCCUGCCCCUGGGACAGAGGCUUCCUGAGGGAUGCUCCUGCCUCCUCCCAAAACCUGCCCAGGGCCAAGCUGGCAGGUGCCCAUCACUGAAAUGAGCCGUAGGGUGCAGCACAGACACCCCCAUUAGCACUGUAUGACACCCACCAGUGAGCAACCAGGGCAGCUGUUCCUGGUGA